rnacentral:rRNA from 1 species
AUGGCGUUCCCGCGGAGGGACAGGGCGGCGGAUUCGAGGAUGGGCGCGGCAGGUGGAGCUCUGUCCUCCUUUGUCCUCUCCCAUCGAGCGCUGUAUCGAAGAAGCAUCAGCUCCCCCACCUCCAUCAUGUCUGCUCUCCUACAUCGGCCACACCACGCCGCGCUCGUGGAGCGGAGUCGCAGAAGCACGAAGCCGACUACGGUGGAGUGA